rnacentral:rRNA from 1 species
AGCUUGUUGGUGAGGUAAUGGCUCACCAAGGCGACGAUCGAUAGCGGGUCUGAGAGGAUGAUCCGCCAGACUGGAACUGAGACACGGUCCAGACUCCUACGGGAGGCAGCAGUAGGGAAUUUUCCACAAUGGGGGCAACCCUGAUGGAGCAACGCCGCGUGCAGGAUGAAGGCCCUCGGGUCGUAAACUGCUUUUCUCUGUGAUGAUUAUGACAGUAGCAGAGGAAUAAGGAUCGGCUAACUCCGUGCCAGCAGCCGCGGUCAUACGGAGGAUCCAAGCGUUAUCCGGAUUUACUGGGCGUAAAGAGUUGCGUAGGCGGUUUAUCAAGCAAGGCAUGAAAUAGUGUGGCUCAACCAUACUGCUAUGUUUUGAACUGAUAGACUAGAGGAUGAGAGAGGUUAUUGGAAUUCCAAGUGUAGGAGUGAAAUCCGUAGAUAUUUGGAGGAACACCGAUGGCGUAGGCAGAUAACUGGCUCAUUCCUGACGCUCAGGCACGAAAGCGUGGGUAGCAAACGGGAUUAGAUACCCCGGUAGUCCACGCCGUAAACUAUGGAUGCUAGCUGUACACCGUAUCGACCCGGUGUGUAGCGAAGCUAACGCGUUAAGCAUCCCGCCUGUGGAGUACGAGCGCAAGCUUAAAACAUAAAGGAAUUGACGGGGACCCGCACAAGCGGUGGAGCGUGUUGUUUAAUUCGAUGGUAAGCGAAGAACCUUACCAAGGCUUGAAAUCCUGCGAAGUUCUGCGGAAGCAGAGUGUGCCUUCGGGAACGCAGUGACAGGUGUUGCAUGGCCGUCGUCAGCUCGUGUCGUGAGAUGUUGGGUUAAGUCCCGCAACGAGCGCAACCCCUAUGUUUAGUUGGAUUUUUCUAAACAGACUGCCCUGGUAACAGGGAGGAAGGAGGGGAUGAUGUCAGGUCAGUAUUACCCUUACGCCUUGGGCUACAAACACGCUACAAUGGCCAGUACAAAGGGUAGCCAAGUCGCGAGACGGAGCAAAUCCCAUCAAAACUGGUCUCAGUUCGGAUAGCAGGCUGAAACUCGCCUGCUUGAAGCUGGAAUCGCUAGUAAUGGUAAGUCAGCACAUUACCGUGAAUACGUUCCCGGGUCUUGUACACACCGCCCGUCAAACCAUGAAAGUGGCCAACACCCGAAGUCCGAUUUAUCGGCCUAAGGUGGGGGGACAUGAUUGGGGUUAAGUCGUAACAAGGUAUCCGUACCGGAAGGUGCGGAUG